UGUUUUUAGAAUGAUGGAUUUGAUAAGGAGGUGGAACUACGAACACUUUUAGUUGAGGUGGCAAAGAAUUGAAGUUAUCGAUGUUGCAGCUGUGAAAAAUACAUGUCAAAUUUGGUGGCGGCUAUUGUUGAUAAGGACUGAUUAGUCUUGGGCAGAUCUGUCCAUUUACCUGUUACGGGUCGUAUGCGUCAAUUCUUGCAUUGAUCGGGUAAAUUUCCUUAAUAGAGACUAUAUGAAACUUUAGCAGAUUAUUAAAAUUUUAAGUUUGAUUAACUUUUAUGAAUUUCAUAGUUUGAAAAUGUUCAGAUCAUUCAUUCAUAAAUUCAUAAUAAGGAUCCACAAAUUCCUUUACAAGAAAGUCUUUGUUUAUAAAUAUAGUAAAAAGACCAACAUUGGUCAUUUGGUAAAGAAAUGAUGGCUUUUGAUGGGUGUUGCCAUGACUUAGGUUUGUUAAUAUUUUAUUAUUUAGGUGUUUAUUCUAUUAAAUCCUAACCAUUUGAACUUCUUUGCGGUACAAAUAAAAUAUCUAUACUAUAUUUUGAAGUAUUAAUAUAAUGAUUACUAUAUUUUAAUUUUAGGUUACUACUUUAUUAUAUAAUUGACGUAUAGAGUUUUAUAUAAUAGACCUAUAGAAUUUGAUUCCUUAAAGCUUACUUUAUAAACUUAAUUAAUCCAAUUUUUAACAGCGAGGUCAAACAAUACUAUUGUUUAGUUGCAGGUUCAGUAGACAACACUAUGUCACCUUCAGAAAAAGAUGGUUUAACCAUAUGGGAACAACAAAUGGUUUAACGUUAUGGGAAUUUGGGAGAUCUGGUAUUUUGAAGCCACUCUUAGGAUACUGACUUCCCUACGAGCAAUUAAAUGUGGCGUACUCAAAACUUAGAAGCGGUGAUACAUCUGCUAAGUCGGGUUUAUAAGGUGAUGAUAUGGCAUCCCCUAAAGCAAUGAGGAGUUAUUCACAACUUAGAUUGACUUAUCUUCUUGAAGAAGCGAACACAAUUUGAGCUACAAGGUAUCCUGGUCAAUUCUCAAUUCUCUAGAUACGAAGAAUGUGUUCAUAUGGUUAUUACAUUGAUGCUCAAAAUGGCCCGUCAUUGGUUAGUAAGCAUCGUACUUUGUGCUUUUACUUUUAAAGAACAAGAAAAAAAAUAUUUUUAUUUGCUACUAGAUGAGUAUCCUUGAUUGGAUUUUGUAAACCUCUAAAGAUGGGAAUUUGCUAUGUGUGUAUUUAUAUAAGGGUGUGCACAAUUUGGUUU
rnacentral:lncRNA from 1 species